rnacentral:rRNA from 1 species
CCGCAAACCGACACUGGUAGGUGGGUAGAAUAUGCCAAGGGGAGCGAGAGAACCCUCGUUAAGGAAUUAGGCAAAUUUCCCCCGUACGUUCGCAAUAAGGGGGGCCUCUGGUGGUGAGCUUAAUCGCAAAGCUGCUGGAGGCCGCAGAGAAAUGGCUCUUCCAACUGUUUAACAAAAACACAGGUCUCUGCUAAGUCGAAAGACGAAGUAUAGGGGCUGACGCCUGCCCAGUGCUGGAAGGUUAAGGGGAGAGGUUAGGCGCAAGCCGAAGCUUUGAGCCGAAGCCCCAGUGAACGGCGGCCGUAACAAUAACGGUCCUAAGGUAGCGAAAUUCCUUGUCGGGUAAGUUCCGACCCGCACGAAUGGCGUAAUGAGAGGAGCACUGUCUCAACGAGGGACUCGGCGAACAUUGAAGGACGUGUGAAGAUACACGUGACCCGCAGCGGGACAAAAAGACCCCGUGAAGCUUUACUACAACUUGCCAUUGAGUUAGGGCUAAACCUGUGUAGUAUAGGUGGGAGGCUUUGAAGCUGGGACGCCAGUCUCGGUGGAGCCACCGUUGAAAUACCACCCUGGUUUAUUCUUGGCUCUAACCUGUCGCCGUUAUCCGGCAUGGGAACAGUGGCUGGUGGGUAGUUUGACUGGGGCGGUCGCCUCCGAAAGCGUAACAGAGGCGCCCAAAGGUUCCCUCAGGCUGAAUGGAAACCAGCCGUUGAGUGUAAAGGCACAAGGGAGCUUGACUGCAAGACCAACAAGUCGCGCAGGGACGAAAGUCGGGCUUAGUGAUCCCACGGUUCAGAGUGGAAUGGCCGUGGCUUACCGGAUAAAAGCUACUCCGGGGAUAACAGGGUAGUCUGGUCCAAGAGUUCAUAUCGACGACCAGGUUCGCCACCUCGAUGUCGGCUCAUCACAUCCUGGGGCUGGAUAAGGUCCCAAGGGUUGGGCUGUUCGCCCAUUAAAGUGGUACGUGAGCUGGGUUCAGACCGUCGUGAGACAGGUCGGUCUCUAUCCGCUGUGGGCGUAAGGGAUUUGAGAGAAGCUGCCUCUAGUACGAGAGGACCGGGGUGGACGGACCUCUAGUGUGCCAGUUGUUCUGCCAAGAGCAUUGCUGGGUAGCUACGUCCGGCAGAGAUAACCGCUGAAAGCAUCUAAGUGGGAAACUCGUCUCAAGAUUAGAUCCCUCAUCCGUAUGGAGUAAGACCGCUAGAAGACUACUAGUUUGAUAGGCGGCAG